rnacentral:rRNA from 1 species
ACGACUGCUAAGACUGGAUAGGAGACAAGAGGGCAUCUUCUUGUUUUUAAAAGACCUAGCAAUAGGUAUGCUUAGGGAGAAGCUUGCGUCACAUUAGUUAGUUGGUGGGGUAAAGGCCUAACAAGACUAUGAUGUGUAGCCGGGCUGAGAGGUUGAACGGCCACAUUGGGACCGAGACACGGCCCAAACUCCUACGGGAGGCAGCAGUAGGGAAUUUUCGGCAAUGGAGGAAACUCUGACCGAGCAACGCCGCGUGAACGAUGAAGUAUUUCGGUACGUAAAGUUCUUUUAUUAGGGAAGAAUAAAUGAUGGAAAAAUCGUUCUGACGGUACCUAAUGAAUAAGCCCCGGCUAACUAUGUGCCAGCAGCCGCGGUAAUACAUAGGGGGCAAGCGUUAUCCGGAAUUAUUGGGCGUAAAGGGUGCGUAGGCGGUUAAAUAAGUUUAUGGUCUAAGUGCAAUGCUCAACAUUGUGAUGCUAUAAAAACUGUUUAGCUAGAGUAAGAUAGAGGCAAGUGGAAUUCCAUGUGUAGUGGUAAAAUGCGUAAAUAUAUGGAGGAACACCAGUAGCGAAGGCGGCUUGCUGGGUCUUUACUGACGCUGAGGCACGAAAGCGUGGGGAGCAAACAGGAUUAGAUACCCUGGUAGUCCACGCCGUAAACGAUGAGUACUAAACGUUGGGUAAAACCAGUGUUGAAGUUAACACAUUAAGUAUUCCGCCUGAGUAGUACGUACGCAAGUAUGAGACUUAAAGGAAUUGACGGGACUCCGCACAAGCGGUGGAUCAUGUUGUUUAAUUCGAAGGUACCCGAAAAACCUCACCAGGUCUUGACAUGCCUCUGCAAAGCUGUAGAAACACAGUGGUGGUUAUCAGUUGCACAGGUGGUGCAUGGUUGUCGUCAGCUCGUGUCGUGAGAUGUUGGGUUAAGUCCCGCAACGAGCGCAACCCUUAUUGUUAGUUACCAGCACGUAAUGGUGGGGACUUUAGCAAGACUGCCAGUGAUAAAUUGGAGGAAGGUGGGGACGACGUCAAAUCAUCAUGCCCCUCAUGACCUGGGCUACAAACGUGAUACAAUGGCUGUUACAAAGGGUAGCUGAAGCGCAAGUUUUUGGCGAAUCUCAAAAAAACAGUCUCAGUUCGGAUUGAAGUCUGCAACUCGACUUCACGAAGUUGGAAUCGCUAGUAAUCGCGAAUCAGCAUGUCGCGGUGAAUACGUUCUCGGGGUUUGUACACACCGCCCGUCA